rfam:Mycobacterium insubricum strain DSM 45130 Mycobacterium_insubricum_DSM45130_contig3, whole genome shotgun sequence.
AAGGUUCCGGUUCACGUCCAUAACCCCAGGAUUGGGUGGGCGACCCGGCGGCC